UACAGAGGUCUCAAGCGUUUGUUCGGAUUCAUUGGGCGUAAAGGGUGCGUAGGCGGCGCGGUAAGUCGGAUGUGAAAUCUCGGAGCUUAACCGGGGAACUGCGUCUGAUACUGGAUGGCUUGGAGUUUGGGAGAGGGAUGGCGGAAUUCCCGGUGUAGCGGUGAAAUGCGUAGAGAUCGGGAGGAACACCGGCGGCGAAGGCGGCUGCCGUGGACCGGCCCUGACGCUGAG
rnacentral:rRNA from 1 species